rnacentral:rRNA from 2 species
AAUCCAUAGGUUAAUGAGGCGAACCGGGGGAACUGAAACAUCUAAGUACCCCGAGGAAAAGAAAUCAACCGAGAUUCCCCCAGUAGCGGCGAGCGAACGGGGAGGAGCCCAGAGCCUGAAUCAGCAUGUGUGUUAGUGGAAGCGUCUGGAAAGGCGCGCGAUACAGGGUGACAGCCCCGUACACAAAAGCGCAUGUGCUGUGAGCUCGAUGAGUAGGGCGGGACACGUGGUAUCCUGUCUGAAUAUGGGGGGACCAUCCUCCAAGGCUAAAUACUCCUGACUGACCGAUAGUGAACCAGUACCGUGAGGGAAAGGCGAAAAGAACCCCGGCGAGGGGAGUGAAAAAGAACCUGAAACCGUGUACGUACAAGCAGUGGGAGCACCCUUUGGGUGUGACUGCGUACCUUUUGUAUAAUGGGUCAGCGACUUAUAUUCUGUAGCAAGGUUAACCGAAUAGGGGAGCCGGAGGGAAACCGAGUCUUAACCGGGCGUUAAGUUGCAGGGUAUAGACCCGAAACCCGGUGAUCUAGCCAUGGGCAGGUUGAAGGUUGGGUAACACUAACUGGAGGACCGAACCGACUAAUGUUGAAAAAUUAGCGGAUGACCUGUGGCUGGGGGUGAAAGGCCAAUCAAACCGGGAGAUAGCUGGUUCUCCCCGAAAGCUAUUUAGGUAGCGCCUCGUGAAUUCAUCUCCGGGGGUAGAGCACUGUUUCGGCUAGGGGGCCAUCCCGGCUUACCAACCCGAUGCAAACUGCGAAUACCGGAGAAUGUUAUCACGGGAGACACACGGCGGGUGCUAACGUCCGUCGUGAAGAGGGAAACAACCCAGACCGCCAGCUAAGGUCCCAAAGUCAUGGUUAAGUGGGAAACGAUGUGGGAAGGCCCAGACAGCCAGGAUGUUGGCUUAGAAGCAGCCAUCAUUUAAAGAAAGCGUAAUAGCUCACUGGUCGAGUCGGCCUGCGCGGAAGAUGUAACGGGGCUAAACCAUGCACCGAAGCUGCGGCAGCGACACUGUGUGUUGUUGGGUAGGGGAGCGUUCUGUAAGCCUGUGAAGGUGUGUCGUGAGGCAUGCUGGAGGUAUCAGAAGUGCGAAUGCUGACAUAAGUAACGAUAAAGC